rnacentral:snRNA from 1 species
GUGUGUGUGUGUGUGUGUGUGUGUUAUCACUUUCUCGACUGAGCCUGUUUUGCCUUAUCUGGCUGUCUAGGCGGGUUGUCCCCUUCCUCCCUCACCAUUCCAUGUCUGUCUCUUGCAAAGCUGUGUGCUCAGUUGACGAGGAUGACCCUCCUGGAAUAGAGACAACUAAGUCUUUGCUUGGUAUACCAGUAGCUGCGCUCCCUGCUAGAACCUCCAAACAAACUCUCAAGGUUGACUGAACCGUGAAAUUUAAUUAGCUUAUAGUAAUUAUUGCU